rnacentral:rRNA from 1 species
GACGAACGCUGGCGGCGUGCUUAACACAUGCAAGUCGAACGGAAAGGCCCUGCUUUCCGUCUACUCGAGUGGCUAACGGGCGAGUAACUCGUGGGUGAUCUGCCCUCCACUUCGGGAUAAGCCUGUGUUACUGGGUCUAGUACCUGCUAGGUGCCAGUUUUUGUUUGAUGGUUUGAAAGUUUUUUCGGUGUUGGAUGAGCUCGCGGCCUAUCAGCUUGUUGGUGGGGUAAUGGGCUACCAAGGCGCCGACGGGUAGCCGGCCUGGGAGGGUGGAAGGCCACAGUGGGACUGAGAGACGGCACAGACGGCGAAGGGAGGCAGCAGUGGGGAAUAGUGCACAAGGGGCGCAAGGCUGAUGCAGCGAGGCCGCGGGGGGGAGGACGGCCUUCGGGUUGUAAAAUCAGUUCGCGAGGGACGAAGCUUUUUGUGACGGUACCUAGAGAAGAAGCACCGGCUAACUACGUG